AUUAUACUCCAUCCGUCCGAAAAUACUUGUCAUCAAAAUGAAUAAAAAGGGAUGUAUCUAGAACUAAAAUACAUCUAGAUACAUCCCCUUUUAUUCAUUUUGAUGACAAGUAUUUCCGGACAGAGGGAGUAGUAA
rnacentral:pre_miRNA from 1 species